UCUUAUUUUAGUCUAUAUUAUGAUAUUCUAAAGUUUCGUCAAAAUCGGAGAACCACGGGUACAAAACCAUGUCGCCAAUUGAUGGAAUGGCCCAUAUAUACAUAACACAUAAAAAGUGAACAAACGUGCGGUGACAAAAAAAAAUCAAAAAAGAAGACAAGUACGGUGGUUUAUACAUACAUACAUACAUAGUAUAAGUGAAAAGUGGUAACGCUGUGAUUAAAGUGACGAAAAUCAAAGCACAAAUAAAACACAACAAAAACAAUUUUAGGGCUUACAAACAACCGUUAUGUGAACAAAACUAUAAUACUCUCGUUAGCAACAUUGUUGCGAGAGUAUAAAAAGGGGUUCUAAACCGUACAAGUGAGGUGAAAAGAAAAAAAACCAAAAAAAAUAAUCAUAAUUGUGCUGUGUAAAUAAAAGUGAAGUAUUGGGUGAAAUAACGCACAAACAAGAAAAAAAUAGAAAAAACCACAAAGCCACCAGAGAAUCACCGCAGAAACAAGCAGCACAAGGAUAGGAGAAAGAAGCACUCCACAAGCACAGGCACAAGCGUAGACACAGGCAAAUACACAUAGACACACACACUCAUAUUAUCCUCAAAAGCCCCUGGCGGAAAUCAAAGCUUCACUGAUGUCCAAAGAUCUACAACGACUAAGUGCUACAUAAGCUUGUCCAGCAGCAAACAGUCGAGAGCCCAGAUUUCUGUAACGAAGGCUGUUCUCAUUUACUAAAACUUUUGACACUUCAAUGUUCGACCUUACGGGACAUCUCGACAGGCGGAAAUUUAUUAUAUACUAACUGUUUUGCUGUACAUUUUGCCUGUGAAGACUCCAAAUUGCUUAUGGAAUACAAUAUAUGACAUACUAGUUUGUAUUAAGACGGUUGUGAUAAAUUAUAAAAAUAAAGUACAUUUUCAAAAUAACUUAACACAUUUUUCCAAAAAAUUAAUAUUUAGUUUAAUAUUGUUAAUUUGCAGAAAAAUUAUACAAAAUGAA